UGACAUAGCCUUGUACAGAGUUCUUUGGAGUGUUGUGCUCAACUCUUAUGGGACUUUUAUGGACCAAUAUAACUACUGUUGUGGCUUGGAAAGCUAUAUAUUUCUUAAUGGGUAGCAGAUUAUUUUUUACAUGUUUCUUAGAUACCGAUAUACACUUAAAAUAUACACUCCAAAUCCUGUGAAUGCAAGUCCUUUAGUUCUAGUUAUUAUCAUUUAGUACUUUUUAGUUCAUGAACCCUGUAUGUGACAUCCAUCUU
rnacentral:lncRNA from 1 species